GAUGAACGCUAGCGGCAGGCCUAACACAUGCAAGUCGAGGGGUAUUAGGAGCUUGCUCCUAAGAGACCGGCGCACGGGUGCGUAACGCGUAUGCAAUCUACCUUUUACAGGGGAAUAGCCCAGAGAAAUUUGGAUUAAUGCCCCAUAGUAUAUAUUAUUCGCAUGUUUGAUAUAUUAAAGUUCCAACGGUAAAAGAUGAGCAUGCGUCCCAUUAGUUAGUUGGUAAGGUAACGGCUUACCAAGACGAUGAUGGGUAGGGGUCCUGAGAGGGAGAUCCCCCACACUGGCACUGAGACACGGACCAGACUCCUACGGGAGGCAGCAGUGAGGAAUAUUGGACAAUGGGCGCAAGCCUGAUCCAGCCAUGCCGCGUGCAGGAAGAAGCAUCUAUGGUGUGUAAACUGCUUUUGUACGGGAAGAAACACCCCUUCGUGAAGGGACUUGACGGUACCGUAAGAAUAAGGAUCGGCUAACUCCGUGCCAGCAGCCGCGGUAA
rnacentral:rRNA from 1 species